UACGGGGGGGGCAAGCGUUGUUCGGAAUUACUGGGCGUAAAGGGCUCGUAGGCGGCCAACUAAGUCGGAUGUGAAAUCCCCAGGCUUAACCUGGGAACUGCAUCCGAUACUGGAUGGCUUGAAUUCGGGAGAGGGAUGCAGAAUUCCAGGUGUAGCGGUGAAAUGCGUAGAUAUCUGGAGGAACACCGGUGGCGAAGGCGGCUAUCUGGCCCGUAAUUGACGCUGAGGCGCGAAAGCGUGGGGAGCAAACAGG
rnacentral:rRNA from 1 species